GGUUAAGCGACUAAGCGUACACGGUGGAUGCCCUGGCAGUCAGAGGCGAUGAAGGACGUGCUAAUCUGCGAAAAGCGUCGGUAAGGUGAUAUGAACCGUUAUAACCGGCGAUGUCCGAAUGGGGAAACCCAGUGCAAUUCGUUGCACUAUCGUUAACUGAAUACAUAGGUUAACGAGGCGAACCGGGGGAACUGAAACAUCUAAGUACCCCGAGGAAAAGAAAUCAACCGAGAUUCCCCCAGUAGCGGCGAGCGAACGGGGAGCAGCCCAGAGUCUGAAUCAGCUUGUGUGUUAGUGGAACGGUCUGGAAAGUCCGACGGUACAGGGUGAUAGUCCCGUACACCAAAAUGCACAGGCUGUGAACUCGAAGAGUAGGGCGGGACACGUGGUAUCCUGUCUGAAUAUGGGGGGACCAUCCUCCAAGGCUAAAUACUCCUGACUGACCGAUAGUGAACCAGUACCGUGAGGGAAAGGCGAAAAGAACCCCGGCGAGGGGAGUGAAAAAGAACCUGAAACCGUGUACGUACAAGCAGUGGGAGCACCUUUAUGGUGUGACUGCGUACCUUUUGUAUAAUGGGUCAGCGACUUAUAUUCUGUAGCAAGGUUAACCGUAUAGGGGAGCCGCAGGGAAACCGAGUCUUAACUGGGCGUUAAGUUGCAGGGUAUAGACCCGAAACCCGGUGAUCUAGCCAUGGGCAGGUUGAAGGUUGGGUAACACUAACUGGAGGACCGAACCGACUAAUGUUGAAAAAUUAGCGGAUGACUUGUGGCUGGGGGUGAAAGGCCAAUCAAACCGGGAGAUAGCUGGUUCUCCCCGAAAGCUAUUUAGGUAGCGCCUCGUGAACUCAUCUUCGGGGGUAGAGCACUGUUUCGGCUAGGGGGUCAUCCCGACUUACCAACCCGAUGCAAACUACGAAUACCGAAGAAUGUUAUCACGGGAGACACACGGCGGGUGCUAACGUCCGUCGUGAAGAGGGAAACAACCCAGACCGCCAGCUAAGGUCCCAAAGUCAUGGUUAAGUGGGAAACGAUGUGGGAAGGCACAGACAGCCAGGAUGUUGGCUUAGAAGCAGCCAUCAUUUAAAGAAAGCGUAAUAGCUCACUGGUCGAGUCGGCCUGCGCGGAAGAUGUAACGGGGCUAAACCAUGCACCGAAGCUGCGGCAGCGACGCUUAUGCGUUGUUGGGUAGGGGAGCGUUCUGUAAGCCUGCGAAGGUGGCCUGUGAGGGUUGCUGGAGGUAUCAGAAGUGCGAAUGCUGACAUAAGUAACGAUAAAGCGGGUGAAAAGCCCGCUCGCCGGAAGACCAAGGGUUCCUGUCCAACGUUAAUCGGGGCAGGGUGAGUCGACCCCUAAGGCGAGGCCGAAAGGCGUAGUCGAUGGGAAACAGGUUAAUAUUCCUGUACUUGGUGUUACUGCGAAGGGGGGACGGAGAAGGCUAUGUUAGCCGGGCGACGGUUGUCCCGGUUUAAGCAUGUAGGCUGGUUAUCCAGGCAAAUCCGGAUAAUCAAGGCUGAGGUGUGAUGACGAGGCACUACGGUGCUGAAGUAACAAAUGCCCUGCUUCCAGGAAAAGCCUCUAAGCAUCAGGUAACAUCAAAUCGUACCCCAAACCGACACAGGUGGUCAGGUAGAGAAUACCAAGGCGCUUGAGAGAACUCGGGUGAAGGAACUAGGCAAAAUGGUGCCGUAACUUCGGGAGAAGGCACGCUGGUGUGUAGGUGAAGCCCCUGCGGGUGGAGCUGAGACCAGUCGAAGAUACCAGCUGGCUGCAACUGUUUAUUAAAAACACAGCACUGUGCAAACACGAAAGUGGACGUAUACGGUGUGACGCCUGCCCGGUGCCGGAAGGUUAAUUGAUGGGGUUAUCCGUAAGGAGAAGCUCUUGAUCGAAGCCCCGGUAAACGGCGGCCGUAACUAUAACGGUCCUAAGGUAGCGAAAUUCCUUGUCGGGUAAGUUCCGACCUGCACGAAUGGCGUAAUGAUGGCCAGGCUGUCUCCACCCGAGACUCAGUGAAAUUGAACUCGCUGUGAAGAUGCAGUGUACCCGCGGCAAGACGGAAAGACCCCGUGAACCUUUACUAUAGCUUGACACUGAACAUUGAGCCUUGAUGUGUAGGAUAGGUGGGAGGCUUUGAAGCGUGGACGCCAGUCUGCGUGGAGCCAACCUUGAAAUACCACCCUUUAAUGUUUGAUGUUCUAACGUUGGCCCCUUACCGGGGUUGCGGACAGUGUCUGGUGGGUAGUUUGACUGGGGCGGUCUCCUCCCAAAGCGUAACGGAGGAGCACGAAGGUUAGCUAAUCCUGGUCGGACAUCAGGAGGUUAGUGCAAUGGCAUAAGCUAGCUUGACUGCGAGCGUGACGGCGCGAGCAGGUGCGAAAGCAGGUCAUAGUGAUCCGGUGGUUCUGAAUGGAAGGGCCAUCGCUCAACGGAUAAAAGGUACUCCGGGGAUAACAGGCUGAUACCGCCCAAGAGUUCAUAUCGACGGCGGUGUUUGGCACCUCGAUGUCGGCUCAUCACAUCCUGGGGCUGAAGUAGGUCCCAAGGGUAUGGCUGUUCGCCAUUUAAAGUGGUACGCGAGCUGGGUUUAGAACGUCGUGAGACAGUUCGGUCCCUAUCUGCCGUGGGCGCUGGAGAAUUGAGGGGGGCUGCUCCUAGUACGAGAGGACCGGAGUGGACGCAUCACUGGUGUUCGGGUUGUCAUGCCAAUGGCACUGCCCGGUAGCUAAAUGCGGAAGAGAUAAGUGCUGAAAGCAUCUAAGCACGAAACUUGCCCCGAGAUGAGUUCUCCCUGAGACUUUAAGUCUCCUGAAGGAACGUUAAAGACGAUGACGUUGAUAGGCCGGGUGUGUAAGCGCAGCGAUGCGUUGAGCUAACCGGUACUAAUGAACCGUGAGGCUUAACCUU
rnacentral:rRNA from 1 species